UGUCAUCCUCUCAACCACACCCCUCUCCCACUCCCACUCGUCCAUUCCGUACCCCGCACCGCCGGCGCUCGCAACCCCAUCGCCGCCCCGCUCGUCGUCCGGGCGCCGCCGCCCUCGCGCCAGGAGGAGGAGGAAGCGGGGUGGGGGGCGACCCGGGCGGCGCGCUGCGGUCCCCAACCUCCUCGCGCUACGGUCCUCCCACCGCCGCUGCCUCGUGCCUCCCCAACCUCCCUACCACCUCUGCCUCCCUGCCCGUCGCCGCCUCCCUGCCCUCGUCGGUGCGAGGAGGAGCCCGUCGUCCCGUACAUCUACUAGGCGCAGUGCAGUACUCGGAGCUUUUGCAAAUUCUGAGGCUUGCUAUAAUCUGAUGUAACUGUGCACUAUGCAAUCAAGAUGAGAGAGAGGACGAGGAUGAUUUCAACUACAAUCAGAAAGGUACUGUUACCAAGGUGUUGGACCCUAAGGAUUACGAGCAUCGUGAUCCACAGCUGUUGGAGGAGUUCCUCAAGAUGCAUCAAGAGAUCGAGGAUAAAUCGACACAUGAGCAGCUCCGAAACGAUCUCGUCGAGCGUUUGUGGGCGAUCCAUAGUUCUAGGUAGCUAUAAUUGAGAUUUGUAACUGUACUCUUUUCCAGUAGCUGUCCUCUUGUAGAUUUGUAUUGGAAUUUGGAGGAAUUGUAAUGCAGACAAAUAUUGUAAUGCUCUCAGAAUUGUAAUGCUCUUCUCUUUCAGUGGAUAGCUAUGAGUACUUGCAAACUUUACAAAAAAUAUUCCAAAGAAUAUUUUUGUUUGUUUCA